AAGAAUAUAAUCUUUAUUGUGCAACAGUCAUGUCAGAUAAACACGAGAGACAGCCUCUUGUAGGACAUACCAUGCUGGGAAAUCAGCGUACGUGUAAUAUAAACGCGCUGUGGCGGCAUGGUGUUGCGGGAAUUUUGUGGCAUUCGUGCUGCCACGGUUGAUACUAAUAUCACCGCAACGCCGGACUUGUGAAUGCAUAUUACAACUUGGCGCAACAGAAGGGGGUAUCAUGAUCACGUGGGCAGUUACUGCCGAGCUCCGGCCGGCAACUAUAUUGAAAAUGAAAGUAAACAUGGGCCGUAAGUUUGGCUUUUCUAAACAGAAUCAGCUGAGAUGAUGGCCGGGGAGCCUCUCCGUAAGAGUUGAAGCUCAGAUCACCAGAGACUGCACGGGGACAGACACCUUCUGGAGCGGCUUGUUAAAAAAGCUUAAUGAGUGUGGCUUUGAUCGCAAUAAAAAGCAAGUUAUGUCCAAGAUAAACUGAAGUCCGUGGCAGCGCAGAGACCGCCCCCAAGCUCCCUUUUCACCGCCAUCGCAUAAUCUUUUUUGUAAAAAGAUCAUGAUCGCACCACAUUAUCCAGCAGGACGGACUGACCACUUAUAAACGACCGAAUGCUGCCCAAUAUUUCUGCUUAUAAUUGAGGAUAACCUUUUCCCAUUUUAUCUUGGAGCUGAUCCAGUUAAUGUGGAGUCAUUUUCUUGCACAGAAAAUUUGCAUUGAGCUUUUUAUAUUUAUCAGUAAUAAUUGGGUCAGUUAUUCCAAGCACCAAAAAUAAAGGAUUAUUGUUUAAAUUGAUAGAAGUUGUUAAUUGUGACUAAUCAUUAGUGGCAAAGUUGCUUCCCUUUAGUAAAUGAUUUUACGUUUUUCAAAGCAUCUUUCCGUUCAUCAUCAGUAAUGCUGCAGUUAAGUUUCCUUUCCCACAAUUCCUUCAAGGUUUCCCUAAAUUGUGACAUUUUGAUGUAUUGUAAAAUGUGUGGGAAAAGUCCUUGUCUGAAACACUGAAUUUUCUAAUUGGUUGAUUAAGUAAGGUCAAGGUUAAGUUUUCCAAAGAGAUUUUGUGUUUUGGAUAUUCCUUUGUUAGUCCAACUUUUCCUGCCAUUAUUCUAGGUAAAAAUAAAAAAAAUCACCAUUAUCUCAAAUUUGUUAAAUGAUGUUAUCUUGUACUAAUGGCACAUAUGUUUACUGAAUUCUUCCGCUUCAUGGUGAUGUGGUUUACUAUAACAUUAACAUAAUGGAUUUAAAUUGUAUUGGUUUCUUUGUCUACAUCUACCACAUCUCAUCUUUAUAGUCCAAUCUUUCAAGUCUUCAAUUUCAAAUAAAUAAAAAUGUGGUCUCAUAGAAAACAAAGUUUUGGCUGGAUUUAGCUGGAGUUUGACAUAUAUUUGUAUUUUAGCUGCAAACUGGGACAAGACUCUCUCCAAUUCAGACAACCAGAGUGAAGUUAAUGACUCAACCUUCCAUCCUGCUGGGCCACCAGAGUCACCAAUCAAUGCUAAUCCUGCAGGAUCAAAUGACAUCUUCCAGUGUGAUGCACAGAGUCCUGCGCAGACAUCAGAACAGUGUUCUGUUCCAGUAGGACCUGGUGGUGUGCUUCUCAUUUUGUAAAGGCUCUUUAAAUUUAAUUGAAUUUUGCAGUCAGUCACUUGCAGAUUCUGAAUGCCAUGAAUGUUAAAGGUUGAGAGAUAUAAGCAAUGACUCAGACUUAUUUAAUUGACUUCCCACCAGACAUUUCCCAGUCAAGAGCAGAGGGUCCUGUGAUAUUCUUCUGGUGUUUUUUCCACACACAAACAUAUUUUAACCUGAUAUUUGUGGCUUUGCAAAAUAAAUUGAAUGCUAAAAUUUCUCAAA